rnacentral:rRNA from 1 species
UACAGAGGGUGCGAGCGUUGUCCGGAAUCACUGGGCGUAAAGGGCGCGUAGGUGGCGGCAUAAGGCCGUGGUGAAAGUCUGGGACUCAACCCCAGAUCGGCCGCGGCGACUGUGUCGCUUGGGCACCGUAGAGGCAGAUGGAAUUCCGGGUGUAGCGGUGGAAUGCGUAGAGAUCCGGAAGAACACCAGUGGCGAAAGCGGCGCGCUGGACCUCUUCUGACGCUGAGGCGCGAAAGCCAGGGGAGCAAACGGG